rnacentral:rRNA from 1 species
CUCAUGAUGAACGCUAGCUACAGGCUUAACACAUGCAAGUCGAGGGGCAGCAUUUCAGUUUGCUUGCAAACUGGAGAUGGCGACCGGCGCACGGGUGAGUAACACGUAUCCAACCUGCCGAUAACUCGGGGAUAGCCUUUCGAAAGAAAGAUUAAUACCCGAUGGCAUAAUUAGACCGCAUGGUCUUAUUAUUAAAGAAUUUCGGUUAUCGAUGGGGAUGCGUUCCAUUAGGCAGUUGGUGAGGUAACGGCUCACCAAACCUUCGAUGGAUAGGGGUUCUGAGAGGAAGGUCCCCCACAUUGGAACUGAGACACGGUCCAAACUCCUACGGGUGGCAGCAGUGAGGAAUAUUGGUCAAUGGACGAGAGUCUGAACCAGCCAAGUAGCGUGAAGGAUGACUGCCCUAUGGGUUGUAAACUUCUUUUAUAUGGGAAUAAAGUUUUCCACGUGUGGAAUUUUGUAUGUACCAUAUGAAUAAGGAUCGGCUAACUCCGUGCCAGCAGCCGCGGUAAUACGGAGGAUCCGAGCGUUAUCCGGAUUUAUUGGGUUUAAAGGGAGCGUAGGUGGACAGUUAAGUCAGUUGUGAAAGUUUGCGGCUCAACCGCAAAAUUGCAGUUGAUACUGGCUGUCUUGAGUACAGUAGAGGUGGGCGGAAUUCGUGGUGUAGCGGUGAAAUGCUUAGAUAUCACGAAGAACUCCGAUUGCGAAGGCAGCUCACUGGACUGCAACUGACACUGAUGCUCGAAAGUGUGGGUAUCAAACAGGAUUAGAUACCCUGGUAGUCCACACAGUAAACGAUGAAUACUCGCUGUUUGCGAUAUACAGUAAGCGGCCAAGCGAAAGCAUUAAGUAUCCCACCUGGGGAGUACGCCGGCAACGGUGAAACUCAAAGGAAUUGACGGGGGCCCGCACAAGCGGAGGAACAUGUGGUUUAAUUCGAUGAUACGCGAGGAACCUUACCCGGGCUUAAAUUGCAUUUGAAUAAUCUGGAAACAGGUUAGCCGCAAGGCAAAUGUGAAGGUGCUGCAUGGUUGUCGUCAGCUCGUGCCGUGAGGUGUCGGCUUAAGUGCCAUAACGAGCGCAACCCUUAUCUUUAGUUACUAACAGGUCAUGCUGAGGACUCUAGAGAGACUGCCGUCGUAAGAUGUGAGGAAGGUGGGGAUGACGUCAAAUCAGCACGGCCCUUACGUCCGGGGCUACACACGUGUUACAAUGGGGGGUACAGAAGGCAGCUACCUGGUGACAGGAUGCUAAUCCCAAAAGCCUCUCUCAGUUCGGAUCGAAGUCUGCAACCCGACUUCGUGAAGCUGGAUUCGCUAGUAAUCGCGCAUCAGCCAUGGCGCGGUGAAUACGUUCCCGGGCCUUGUACACACCGCCCGUCAAGCCAUGAAAGCCGGGGGUACAUGAAGUACGUAACCGCAAGGAGCGUCCUAGGGUAAAACUGGU